UUCGAGUCUACAGCUGAGAAGCUUAC
rnacentral:sRNA from 1 species